AUUGAACGCUAGCGGGAUGCUUUACACAUGCAAGUCGAACGGAGUGGCGGACGGGUGAGUAAUAUAUCGGAACGUGCCCACUAGCGGGGGAUAACUACUCGAAAGAGUGGCUAUUACCGCAAUCUAUUGGAGCGGCCGAUAUCGGAUUAGCUAGUUGGUGGGGUAAAGGCUCACCAAGGCAACGAGCCGUAGCUGGUGUGAGGGGAAGACAAGCCAGACGGGGACUGUGACACGGCCCAGACUCCAACGGGGGGCAGCAGUGGGGAAUUGUGGACAAUGGGGGAAACCCUGAUCGAGCCAUCCCGCGUGUAUGAUGAGGGCCUGCGGGUUGUAAAGUACUUUUGGCAGAGAAGCGGUAUCUGCAGAAUAAGCACCGGCUAACUACGUGCCAGCAGCCGCGGUAAUAC
rnacentral:rRNA from 1 species